AUACGGAGGGUGCAAGCGUUACUCGGAAUCACUGGGCGUAAAGCGCGCGCAGGCGGUCUUUUAAGUUGGAUGUGAAAGCCUACGGCUCAACCGUAGAACUGCAUCCAAAACUAUUAGACUAGAGUGUGGGAGAGGAAGAUGGAAUUAGUUGUGUAGGGGUAAAAUCCGUAGAGAUAACUAGGAAUACCAAAAGCGAAGGCAAUCUUCUGCAACACUACUGACGCUGAGGCGCGAAAGCGUGGGGAGCAAACAGGAUUAGAAACCCUAGUAGUCC
rnacentral:rRNA from 1 species